rnacentral:rRNA from 1 species
AUACGGAGGGUGCGAGCGUUAAUCGGAAUUACUGGGCGUAAAGCGCGCGUAGGCGGUUUGGUCAGUCGGAUGUGAAAGCCCUAGGCUCAACCUGGGAAUGGCAUUCGAUACUGCCUGACUAGAGUAUGGUAGAGGGAAGUGGAAUUUCCGGUGUAGCGGUGAAAUGCGUAGAUAUCGGAAGGAACACCAGUGGCGAAGGCGACUUCCUGGGCCAAUACUGACGCUGAGGUGCGAAAGCGUGGGGAGCAAACAGGAUUAGAUACCCCAGUAGUCC